AUAACGGUCCUAAGGUAGCGAAAUUCCUUGUCGGGUAAGUUCCGACCUGCACGAAUGGCGUAAUGAUGGCCAGGCUGUCUCCACCCGAGACUCAGUGAAAUUGAACUCGCUGUGAAGAUGCAGUGUACCCGCGGCAAGACGGAAAGACCCCGUGAACCUUUACUAUAGCUUGACACUGAACAUUGAGCCUUGAUGUGUAGGAUAGGUGGGAGGCUUUGAAGUGUGGACGCCAGUCUGCAUGGAGCCGACCUUGAAAUACCACCCUUUAAUGUUUGAUGUUCUAACGUGGACCCGUAAUCCGGGUUGCGGACAGUGUCUGGUGGGUAGUUUGACUGGGGCGGUCUCCUCCUAAAGAGUAACGGAGGAGCACGAAGGUUGGCUAAUCCUGGUCGGACAUCAGGAGGUUAGUGCAAUGGCAUAAGCCAGCUUGACUGCGAGCGUGACGGCGCGAGCAGGUGCGAAAGCAGGUCAUAGUGAUCCGGUGGUUCUGAAUGGAAGGGCCAUCGCUCAACGGAUAAAAGGUACUCCGGGGAUAACAGGCUGAUACCGCCCAAGAGUUCAUAUCGACGGCGGUGUUUGGCACCUCGAUGUCGGCUCAUCACAUCCUGGGGCUGAAGUAGGUCCCAAGGGUAUGGCUGUUCGCCAUUUAAAGUGGUACGCGAGCUGGGUUUAGAACGUCGUGAGACAGUUCGGUCCCUAUCUGCCGUGGGCGCUGGAGAACUGAGGGGGGCUGCUCCUAGUACGAGAGGACCGGAGUGGACGCAUCACUGGUGUUCGGGUUGUCAUGCCAAUGGCACUGCCCGGUAGCUAAAUGCGGAAGAGAUAAGUGCUGAAAGCAUCUAAGCACGAAACUUGCCCCGAGAUGAGUUCUCCCUGACUCCUUGAGAGUCCUGAAGGAACGUUGAAGACGACGACGUUGAUAGGCCGGGUGUGUAAGCGCAGCGAUGCGUUGAGCUAACCGGUACUAAUGAACCGUGAGA
rnacentral:rRNA from 1 species